rnacentral:rRNA from 1 species
CAGUGGGGAAUAUUGGACAAUGGGCGCAAGCCUGAUCCAGCCAUACCGCGUGGGUGAAGAAGGCCUUCGGGUUGUAAAGCCCUUCUGUUGGGAAAGAAAUCCAGCCGGCUAAUACCUGGUUGGGAUGACGGUACCCAAAGAAUAAGCACCGGCUAACUUCGUGCCAGCAGCCGCGGUAAUACGAAGGGUGCAAGCGUUACUCGGAAUUACUGGGCGUAAAGCGUGCGUAGGUGGUUGUUUAAGUCUGUUGUGAAAGCCCUGGGCUCAACCUGGGAACUGCAGUGGAAACUGGACAACUAGAGUGUGGUAGAGGGUAGCGGAAUUCCCGGUGUAGCAGUGAAAUGCGUAGAGAUCGGGAGGAACAUCAAUGGCGAAGGCAGCUACCUGGACCAACACUGACGCUGAGGCUCGAAGGCUAGGGGAGCAAAAGGGAUUAGA